rnacentral:rRNA from 1 species
GAACGAUGAAGCUUUCGGGGUGGAUUAGUGGCGAACGGGUGAGUACACGUGGGCAAUCUGCCCUGCACUCCUGGGACAAGCCCUGGAAACGGGGUCUAAUACCGGAUAUCACUUUUCCCUGCAUGGGGAAGGGUUGAAAGCUCCGGCGGUGCAGGAUGAGCCCGCGGCCUAUCAGCUUGUUGGUGGGGUGAUGGCCUACCAAGGCGACGACGGGUAGCCGGCCUGAGAGGGCGACCGGCCACACUGGGACUGAGACACGGCCCAGACUCCUACGGGAGGCAGCAGUGGGGAAUAUUGCACAAUGGGCGGAAGCCUGAUGCAGCGACGCCGCGUGAGGGAUGACGGCCUUCGGGUUGUAAACCUCUUUCAGCAGGGAAGAAGCGCAAGUGACGGUACCUGCAGAAGAAGCGCCGGCUAACUACGUGCCAGCAGCCGCGGUAAU